AUUGAACGCUGGCGGCAUGCUUUACACAUGCAAGUCGAACGGCAGCACGGGUGCUUGCACCUGGUGGCGAGUGGCGGACGGGUGAGUAAUACAUCGGAACGUGUCCAGAAGAGGGGGAUAACGCAUCGAAAGAUGUGCUAAUACCGCAUAUGCUCUGAGGAGGAAAGUGGGGGAUCGAAAGACCUUACGCUUUUGGAGCGGCCGAUGUCUGAUUAGCUAGUUGUGGGGUAAGGGCCUACCAAGGCGACGAUCAGUAGUUGGUCUGAGAGGACGACCAGCCACACUGGGACUGAGACACGGCCCAGACUCCUACGGGAGGCAGCAGUGGGGAAUUUUGGACAAUGGGCGCAAGCCUGAUCCAGCCAUGCCGCGUGAGUGAAGAAGGCC
rnacentral:rRNA from 1 species